GUGCACGCUGGCGGUAGGCCUAACACAUGCAAGUCGAACGGCAGCACAGUAAGAGCUUGCUCUUACGGGUGGCGAGUGGCGGACGGGUGAGGAAUACAUCGGAAUCUACUUUUUCGUGGGGGAUAACGUAGGGAAACUUACGCUAAUACCGCAUACGACCUACGGGUGAAAGCAGGGGAUCUUCGGACCUUGCGCGAUUGAAUGAGCCGAUGUCGGAUUAGCUAGUUGGCGGGGUAAAGGCCCGCCAAGGCGACGAUCCGUAGCUGGUCUGAGAGGAUGAUCAGCCACACUGGAACUGAGACACGGUCCAGACUCCUACGGGAGGCAGCAGUGGGGAAUAUUGGACAAUGGGCGCAAGCCUGAUCCAGCCAUACCGCGUGGGUGAAGAAGGCCUUCGGGUUGUAAAGCCCUUUUGUUGGGAAAGAAAAGCAGCAGGUUAAUACCCCGCUGUUCUGACGGUACCCAAAGAAUAAGCACCGGCUAACUUCGUG
rnacentral:rRNA from 1 species